CAGCAGAUGCUGUAUUCUGGAGCAAAAGAAACACUGCUGGGUGAACUCAGCUGGUUAGUCAGCAUCUAUGGAG